AACCUGUUCAUCUUCACCCCCGCGAGCAACUCAUAACACUAGCGAGAAUAUAUGAGAUCUCAUCACAUGAGCGCUUCAGCACUCCUCCUACACGAGGGAGGGCUUCGAUCGUCCUCUGGUCUACGGGUUAAAGUUCGCUACAUGGAGCGGGUCGCCCCCUCAGGAGCUGCAGCGUUGACAUCACAUGACCAGUGUCAAGCAAGUGAGUUACUACUAGUAAACAUAAGCCAGUGACUCUAUAUUGUGUACAUGAAAAGUAUAAUUUAGAUGAUUUAUGUCACAAAUCUCUGUCGUGUACUGUAUUUAACCACAUAGGCUAAUUGAUUACAUAAAUGGCCCACAUUUAAACUAUUUCUUAACGUCUUUUAUACUACAUUAUACAUCCAUAAUACACAUAAUGGAUGUGUUUGUAUUGCAGCAUAAUACGAAAACACUGCCAUUGUAAAUGUGGCCAGUAUUAUUAUACAUAAGAAUACACUUUGAUGACCCAAUUUUUCAGAGAACAAAAUGAGGUGUGCAUGACAAAAAACACAUACAAGGAAGCAAUAUCCCCCUGAGAUAGAAUAGAUUUAUUAGCAAGAGGUAAUCAGGAAACAUACAGUUUAUUUUUCUUUCUUUUUCUUUUCUGUUCAUUUCUCUUUUUUUCUUUUUUUUCUUUUUUUUUUUUUUUUUGUAGAAAACUGGAAAUAUUUCCCGAGCCGUGGAAAUAAACUUAAGGGUUGAAAGAUAAUUCUCAUACCACUGGGUAUUGCUAACAGCAAAAUGUUUGUUUGUAUGUUUAUAUAUCAUUUAUAAGAGUAUGUGCACAUAGAUGUGUAUACAGUAUAUAUGUAUAUAUAUAUAUAUAUAUAUAUAUAUAUAUAUCCUUUUAAAGUUUCUGGCUGAUACAGUGUUGCAUGCCUGCCACAUGAGCGAUUAGUGUGUUUCCAGACUGUACAUCGUAAAAAUACAUACAAAUAUUCACAGAAUAAGCACUACAUUACUAUAUUCCUGCUAAGAGAAUGAUUAUAGACAGGAUUACAGUAUAUGCAAAACACUUUAAAGUCCUCUACCUCUAGAUCAUGGUUUCAAAAAUCACAAAUCAUAUAGCAUUGAGUGUGUAAGCAUAGGAUACAACGCUUUAAAGAGGUGUGCUUUAAACUAGUACAUGUUAAGAAAUACAUAGGGCUGCAUGUACAAAAUAUACAGAAUACUUUUCUGUGUGGCGAGUUGACAAUGUUUGUACAAAAAUGUUUUUACGGUCUGUUUUUUUUUUUUUUUUUUUUUUUUAGGUAAGGAUGCAGAACCCUACGUCUUUAUUCUAGGACUACAAAAAUACCCUUUGUAUGCUGCAAGCGGGAAGGUCAUUCACUUUUGAUCAUA